rnacentral:rRNA from 1 species
AGAGUUUGAUCCUGGCUCAGGAUGAACGCUAGCUACAGGCUUAACACAUGCAAGUCGAGGGGCAGCAUGUUGGUUGCUUGCAACCAAUGAUGGCGACCGGCGCACGGGUGAGUAACGCGUAUCCAACCUACCCUUGUCCAUCGGAUAACCCGUCGAAAGGCGGCCUAACACGAUAUGUGGUUCACAGCAGGCAUCUAAGGUGAACGAAAUGUGAAGGAGAAGGAUGGGGAUGCGUCUGAUUAGCUUGUUGGCGGGGUAACGGCCACAAGGCUACGAUCAGUAGGGUUCUGAGAGGAACGGUCCCCCANAUUGGAACUGAGACACGGUCCAAACUCCUACGGGAGCA